rnacentral:rRNA from 1 species
AUAGAGGUAUCUGAAGAAUGACUUGGGUAUAAAAGAAAUAGGACGUAAUAACUUACGAAAAUACGAACUUAGAGAAUUUCAAGUUUGUGUCUCCUUUUAGGGAAACCUAUAUAAAAAAAUACAUUGUGAAUUGAAACAUCUUAGUAACAAUUGGAAAAGAAAUCAAUCGAGAUUAUGUUAGUAGCGGCUAGCGAAACCAUAUGUAGCCUAUUAAAAUUUGAAAAAAUUUUAUGUGUUUAUUUUUUAAUUUCUAGAAGUUCAUAGAGGGUAUUCAAAUCCCGUAUAGAAAGGAAAAUAAAUAAUAGAGUAGAUCUAAAAAGAUUGAAGAAUAUCAAUUAUGUAAUAAUUUUUGAUCAGGAGUAUCAACUUCUAAGGCUAAAUACUUUUAUACACCGAUAGUGAACUAGUAACGUGAGUGAAAGUUGAAAAAGAAUUGCUAAGCAAAGUGAAAAGACCCUGAAUUCGGAUACUAUUAGCUGUUAUUGCCAAUUUGGUUUUAACGUACCUUUUGUAUAAUGGAUUUGCUAGUCUUUAUUUUAUGCGCAGCUUAAUUGUAAUUGUAGGCGUAGUGAAAACGAGUAAUAAUUUGCGUAAUUGUAUAAAAUAAAGGGACCCGAAACUGAGUGAUCUAUUUAUCAGCAGUUUGAAUCCUGAUUUAUCGUCAGGUGGAGGAACGAACUCGUGUCUGUUGCAAGAGACUGGGAUGACUGGUGAAUAGUCGGUGAAAUGCCAAUCGAACUCAGAUAUAGCUGGUUUUCUGCGAAAAUUAUUACAGUAAUGCAUUGACAAUAUUCUUAUUAGGUAAAGCACUAUUUUGUUCAAGGGCACCUAACCCGUGUAUCUUAAUAUUAAAAACUAAUAAUUAAUAAGAAGUUAUGUCAGUAGUUAGACUUACGGCGAUAAGGUUAUAAGUCAAAAGGUAAACAAACCUAAUCUAUAGUUAAGGUCUUUAAUCUCCUUUUAGUGUUUAAUGCCCGUUUUAUUACUAAUACAACUUAAAUGUAGGCCCGGAAACAGCCAUCUUUUAUAGAAAACGUAAUAGUUCAUAAAACUAUGUAAUAAAGCACAAAUAAUUUAGAAGGCUCAAAAGGAGGAACCGAAACUUAGAUAUUAUCUUCGAUAAGAUAAUAGGUAGCAGAACGUUCCGUAAAUAAAAAAGAACUAGAAAUAGUAUAAUAUCGGAAGUGACUAUGCAAAUAUGAGUAACUAAAAAACUAGAUUAACUAGUUCACCAAAAACCCUAAGUUUUCUACUUAUCUUAUAUUAAAAGUAGAGUGAUUCAGGCCCUAAGAAUAAGGCGAACGCUGAUUUUGAUGGGAAAUGUGUCUAUCAGGACUCUUUACAAGACAGGAAAUAAUGUAGACAUUAAAACUGUACUAAAGCUGACACUAGUGGGUAGGUGUAAAUGCACCAAGGUGAUGGGAGAAUUAUCCUUAAGGAACUCGGCAAAAUAACUAAAUAAGUUCGCGAUAAUUAGGUCCGUACGUGAGUAAGGACGCAGAAAAUAGGGGAGAUCAACUGUUUACCAAAAACACAGCUUUUAGCUAACAUGAAAUAUGGAUGUAUUAGAAGUGAAUCCUGCCCAAUGAAUGAAUCUAAAAUUAUUUGGUAUAAGCUAGAUAUAUAAGGACUUUUAAAUGGCCGCAGUAACUCUGACUGUGAUAAUGUAGCGAAAUCAAUAGUCAAUUAAUUGUUGACAGGUAUGAAUGGGUUAAUGAGUUUUCCACUGUCUCAAGGAUUAAGCCAGUGAAAUUGGAUUUGUAGUGAAGAUACUACAUAUAUGUUAUAAGACAAAGAGACCCUAGCAGCUUAACAGUUAUUAUCUAAAUCUUUCUUUUUCCUCUUUUCAUAGUCUAAUCCAGAUCCCUAUGAAGUGUUCAUUUCGGUGAAAAAACAGGGAAACAUGAAAAAUGGGUAAAAGAGUGAAGAAAAAGAAUAAAAGGAUAAGAGACAGUUUAAUUGGGGCGAUUGCCUUUUAAAAAGUAACAAAGGCUCACAUAAGAUCUAUUCACAUUAAUUAGAAAUUAAUGGUAGAGUGUAAAAGUAUAAAUAGGUUUGACUGUAUGUUUGAUAGAACUAACAGGGGCGAAAGCCGGUUUUAGUGAACCGUAAAUGUUAUAAGGACAAGUUUACGAUAAUAAGAAAAGUUACGCUAGGGAUAACAGGGUAAUACUUUCCAAGAGUUCUUAUCGACGAAAGUGUUUGCCACCUCGAUGUUGAAUCGCCCUAUCCUAGUGGGGUAGCACCUACUAAAGGUUGGUCUGUUCGACCAUUAAAAGGGUACGUGAUUUGAGUUCAGAGCGUCGUGAGACAGCUCGGUUUAUAUCUAUAAUAUUCAAAUAACUUAAAUAAUAGCUUUAUUUGUACGCAAGGACCAUAAAGUGAGUCCCACUGGUCUUUCUAUUGUCAAAAGGCAUAGUAGAGUAGCUACGGACUUCCGGUUAAGAACUGAAAGCAUCUGAAGUUCAAAACCUAUUAUUAGACUUAGUUAUAUAUGACUCCUGUAGAUCACAGGUUAGGCAAAAAGUGUUCUAGCUUUUUUGUUCUAAUAGUCAAUUUACUUUACAUAUUCACUAAAUAACUCCCCUCCGUUAUUUU